rnacentral:tRNA from 1 species
GCGGGAGUAGCUCAGUGGUAGAGCUCCUGCCUUCCAAGCAGGCUGUCGCGAGUUCAAGUCUCGUCUCCCGCUCCU